rnacentral:piRNA from 1 species
UUUGUUUAAAACGAAUACAAA